rnacentral:rRNA from 1 species
AUUGAACGCUGGCGGCAUGCCUUACACAUGCACGUCGAACGGCCGCAUAGGAGCUUGCUCCUGAUGGCGAGUGGCGAACGGGUGAGUAAUGCAUCGGAACGUGCCCAGUCGUGGGGGAUAACGCCGCGAAAGCUGCGCUAAUACCGCAUACGAACUAUGGAUGAAAGCGGGGGACCGUAAGGCCUGGCGCGAAUGGAGCGGUCGAUGUCCGAUUAGGUAGUUGGUGGGGUAAAGGCACACCAAGCAAACGAUCUGUAGCUGGUCUGGGAGGACGACCAGCCACGCUGGGACUGAGACACGGCCCAGACUCCUACGGGAGGCAGCAGUGGGGAAUUUUGGACAAUGGGCGCAAGCCUGAUCCAGCAAUGCCGCGUGCAGGAAGAAGGCCUUCGGGUUGUAAACUGCUUCUGUACGGAACGAAAAGGCUCUGGAUAAUACCUGGGGCUCAUGACGGUACCGUAAGAAUAAGCACCGGCUAACUACGUGCCAGCCGCCGCCGUAAAAC